rnacentral:rRNA from 1 species
CACGUAGGGCGCAAGCGUUGUCCGGAAUUAUUGGGCGUAAAGAGCUCGUAGGCGGUCUGUUGCGUCUGCUGUGAAAACUCGGGGCUUAACCCCGAGCCUGCAGUGGAUACGGGCAGACUAGAGGUAGGUAGGGGAGAAUGGAAUUCCCGGUGUAGCGGUGAAAUGCGCAGAUAUCGGGAGGAACACCGGUGGCGAAGGCGGGUCUCUGGGGCUGAGCUGACGCUGAGGAGCGAAAGCGUGGGGAGCGAACAGG